rnacentral:tRNA from 1 species
GUCGGAGUAGAGCAGCCCGGUAGUUCGCUUGGCUCGUAGCCAAGAGGCCUAAGGUUCAAAUCGUCCCUCCGCAACCA